rnacentral:lncRNA from 1 species
GUAACUCACAGUCCUCUAUUACAGGGGUGGGCAGUAACUCACAGUCCUCUAUUACAGGGGUGGGCAGUAACUCACAGUCCUCUAUUACAGGGGUGGGCAGAAACUCACAGUCCUCUAUUACACGGGUGGGCAGCAACUCACAGUCCUCUAGUACAGGGGUGGGCAGCAACUCACAGUCCUCUAUUACAGGGGUGGGCAGCAACUCACAGUCCUCUAUUACAGGGUGGGCAGUAACUCACAGUCCUCUAGUACAGGG